GAGUAGGCUGGACAGUCGCGGGGACAAGGCGAAAGCCUGUUCAUGAGGAAAGUCCGGGCUCCACAGGGCAAGAAUAACGGGUAACGCCCGCCGAAGGCGACUUCAGGAAAAGUGCAACAGAGAUAUACCGCCUCGUCCGCCUGCGCAAGGAGGCGGCGGGGUAAGGGUGGAAAGGCGAGGUAAGAGCUCACCCGACGGCGUGUGAAAGCGUCCGUCGCUGUAAACUCUAUUCGGAGCAACACCGGUAUGGGAGCGCAUGGCCGGCCCGGCCGCUCCCGGGGUGGCUUGAGCGUACCGGCAACGGUGCGCCUAGAUAGAUGACUGUCGAAACAGAACCCGGCUUAUAGGCCUGCUCG
rnacentral:RNase_P_RNA from 1 species